AUGACGGUAUGGUAAGAGGAAGCCCCGGCUAACUACGUGCCAGCAGCCGCGGUAAUACGUAGGGGGCGAACGUUGUCCGGAAUGACUGGGCGUAAAGGGCGAGUAGGUGGUUUGCCAAGUCAGGAGUGAAAACUCCGGGCUCAACUUGGAGAUUGCUACUGAAACUGGCAGACUUGAGUGCAGGAGAGGGAAGCGGAAUUCCUAGUGUAGCGGUGAAAUGCGUAGAUAUUAGGAGGAACACCGGUGGCGAAGGCGGCUUCCUGGCCUGUAACUGACACUGAGGCGCGAAAGCGUGGGGAGCGAACAGGAUUAGAUACCCUGGUAGUCCACGCCGUAAACGAUGAGUGCUAGGUGUUGGGGGUAUCGACCCCCUCAGUGCCGCAGUAAACGCAAUAAGCACUCCGCCUGGGGAGUACGGUCGCAAGACUGAAACUCAAAGGAAUUGACGGGGGCCCGCACAAGCGGUGGAGUAUGUGGUUUAAUUCGACGCAACGCGAAGAACCUUACCAAGGCUUGACAUCCCGUGACCGUCGUGGAAACAUGAUUUUCUUAGAUUACUAAGACACGGAGACAGGUGGUGCAUGGUUGUCGUCAGCUCGUGUCGUGAGAUGUUGGGUUAAGUCCCGCAACGAGCGCAACCCCUACAGCCAGUUGCCAGCAC
rnacentral:rRNA from 1 species